UAAUACGGGGGGAGCAAACGUUGUUCGGAAUUACUGGGCGUAAAGGGCGCGCAGGCGGCUCGGUUAGUGGAAUGUGAAAUGCCCUGGCUUAACCAGGGAACUGCAUUCCAUACUGCCGGGCUUGAGUAUAGGAGAGGAUGGGGGAAUUCCCGGUGUAGCGGUGGAAUGCAUUGAUAUCGGGAGGAACACCAGUGGCGAAGGCGCCCAUCUGGCCUAAUACUGACGCUGAGGCGCGAAAGCUAGGGGAGCAAACAGGAUUAGAUACCCUGGUAGUCCUAGCCGUAAACGGUGAGCACUAGGUGUAGGAGGCAUCGACCCCUCCUGUGCCGCAGCUAACGCAUUAAGUGCUCCGCCUGGGGAGUACGACCGCAAGGUUG
rnacentral:rRNA from 1 species